GAUGAACGCUGGCGGCGUGCCUAAUACAUGCAAGUCGAGCGAACGGACGAGAAGCUUGCUUCUCUGAUGUUAGCGGCGGACGGGUGAGUAACACGUGGAUAACCUACCUAUAAGACUGGGAUAACUUCGGGAAACCGGAGCUAAUACCGGAUGAUAUUUUGAACCGCAUGGUUCAAAAGUGAAAGACGGUCUUGCUGCCACUUAUAGAUGGAUCCGCGCUGCAUUAGCUAGUUGGUAAGGUAACGGCUUACCAAGGCAACGAUGCAUAGCCGACCUGAGAGGGUGAUCGGCCACACUGGAACUGAGACACGGUCCAGACUCCUACGGGAGGCAGCAGUAGGGAAUCUUCCGCAAUGGGCGAAAGCCUGACGGAGCAACGCCGCGUGAGUGAUGAAGGUCUUCGGAUCGUAAAACUCUGUUAUUAGGGAAGAACAUAUGUGUAAGUAACUGUGCACAUCUUGACGGUACCUAAUCAGAAAGCCACGGCUAACCACGUG
rnacentral:rRNA from 1 species